CUUCUCUGAGCAUCCAGCCUCUAGGAGCUGUGCCCCCCUUCUAGCCUAUUCCUACUGCAUGGAUUGUCUGGAUGCCUCCUUGAGACU
rnacentral:miRNA from 1 species